CUUUCCAUGUGAUGGAUGCUCCCAAGAAAUCAACGAAAUGGACAGCGUUAUCUUUGGUGUACAGAUGAAAACAAUGCAGCUAAGAGAAAACAAUACAACUAAGAGUGAGAAGCUCAAAGUCUCCCAGCCUAGAGAAAGUUUAAAUUCAGAUUUAGAGGACUGCAAAGUUCGCGAGCCUCCUGGGAGAUUUCAUGCUGGACUCCCAGAGGCCACUCCCAGCGACUCUGAACCUCGCUGGUGUCAUCUUUCCUGUGGGCUCACCUGGGGCCAGCCUGUCAGCCACCUGGCCCUCAGUCAGCAGUCUUUAUUGAGAGGAGACCACACUGUGUACAGAGGCCUGCCCCAGUCCUUGGAAGUGGAAGUCACAGGUGGGGUGUUAGGAGGGAGCUCUCGGAGGCUCAUCAAACAAAGGGUGUGUUCAUCU
rnacentral:lncRNA from 1 species